AAGUUCCUCAAUCGAGAUCGUGUAGACGACCACAAUUGCUACCGUCCUGUACCAAUAGAAGAGGUUCUUGUAAUUAUUGUGCUUUCAUAGUGUGGCACUCGAAUGAAACGGUCGUGUCUUGCACCAGUUGAUAAUACAUUGCCAAAAAUAAUAAAAGUCUUUUAAAUUAAAUAGACAGUUAUUCUACACGCAUUGAUAAAUGAAAUAGUUGCAGUGUUUUGCUAGUAAUUGCUUAUUUUAUUCAAUUAUUGUUGCUUUUAAAAUGGAAAAGGUUAAUACGUUAUCACAAAAUGUAGACGUUAAUGAUAAACAUGCAGCUGAUCUGGACCAAGCGCUGUCAGUCGCUGGUUUUGGUUGGUACAAUGUAAAAUACUGUUUGACGUUGGCGUUGUUUCUAAUCUCCGCCAUCAUAGAGCCAGUUGGAUACUCGUACCUGCUACCUGCUGCUAAAUGUGACUUAAAUAUGUCAGAUUCUCAGCGAGGAAUAAUUUCAUCCAUCCCAUAUUUAGGCGUUGUUUUGACUUCAUUUCCGUGGGGUUACUUAGUAGACACACGAGGCCGAAAGAAAAUGAUCAUAUACAGUUCACUAGGUGUCGGUGGCUUCAGCGUACUUUCAGCGUUUAUGCCUGAAAUGAUCAGUUUUACUAUAUGCAAAACCCUCAGUGCAAUUUGCUUAGCAUGCCCAGCAGCAGUCCCUUACAGUUUUAUCGGAGAAAUAAUACCACUGAAAUAUAGAGAUGUCACGCUAUCAGUCACAAACGCGUUACAGAUUAUGGGAUCUGGUUUAGUACCACUCUUGGCUUGGGGUAUUUUGCCUCUUGAUUUCAGAGUGGACUUUGGAGCAUACGAAUUCAGAUCCUGGAGACUUUUGUGUAUAGCUUACGCGUGCUUUUUCUUCUUAAGCACGUUCUUGUUGAGUUUCGGGCCGGAGAGUCCCAAGUAUCUUGUGUCCCAAGGAAAACAUGACGAGGCCUUGAAAGUAUUGCAAAUUAUGUAUGCGGAAAAUAAAGGAAAAUCGCCUGAUACAUAUCCAGUGAAAAGACUAAAUAUGCCCACCGUUAAUAAAGAAAAAACCAGUUUUUUAAACUCACUCAAGGUGCAAACAUUGCCGUUAUUAAAACCCCCAUAUUUUAAGUGGUUGGUACUUAAUGGAUUCCUGCUCUUCGGUAUAAUGGCAUCUCUAAACGGUCUAUACAUGUGGGUACCAGAUGUAUUAAACCGAGUAUUCAGCGGCAGCGGUGGUAAUCAGCUGACCGCGUGCGGUGUUAUCGCUCAGCGGGUCGAGGCAGCCACCGACGACACUGUCUGCGACGAUACGAUUGAACCUAUAACUUUUAUAAUUAACUCUAUAUCUAGUACAAGUUGUGCUUUGAUUGCGGUUUUUGUUAGUGUCCUAGUGAAAUUCAUAGGCAAGAAAACGUUAUUAAUUGCCGUGUACUUUAUAAUCGGGACGUUCUGUAUACUGAUUAACUUCGUCACAGAGCAAUUUGUGUUUGCUACUCUUCUGUCGUCGCUCACUUUGACCGGUCUAGGGUUGGGACCCGUAAAUGCUUUUACGGUACAAAUAUUCCCUACCCAUUUAAGCCGGUCACAAUGGCGUAACUAUACCAUUUGGGGCCUGUGACAAAUUCUUUUGACAGGGCCCUAUCAUUUAUUAUCAAGUAAAAUAAAAUACUCAGGUACAAGUUAAAAAAAAAUUCUGAGCCGGGGCCCUUUUAGGUCGGGGGCCCGUGGCAUUUUGCAAGUCCUGCCACACAAUUGUUACGCCACUGGCUGUUCAAGCAUGGUCAAGUAACAAACUUUUUACAUUUAUAAUAGGAAUGGCUGUAAGUUUAACAAUGAUGUUAGGGCGAUCGGGCUCAGUGAUUGGAACAAACGUCGCGGGACUCAUGAUUAAUGCAG
rnacentral:misc_RNA from 1 species